GUUUUGGUUGUUUCCGACCGAUUGACCCUUCGUUUCCUCCUUCUUGAGCUGUUCACAUAACGAUCUGUGGCUCCUCAAAGUGGAUCGGAUUGGGCGAUACCUUCUGGAGACAACCGAUUGAGGGAGGUGUUCUUGAGCUGCCGGGAAGAGGCUAGAAGGAUGGUUAAUUGAUCAGUGAUCUCCCUGCUUGACCUCCUGUUGUGAUCCGAUUGAUUCCAAUGAGGUUGAGUGCUGUGGAUCAACAAGCACGACUGUGAGUAGUGUUUGGUCUUGCAUUGUGAUGGCGUCUGAGUGUUGGCUUGGUCUCUGUUGGCUUGCUACAUAUCUAGAAAGCUCCAUGAUUUGUGCUAAGGUAGUUCUUCUCAACGAGCAUAUCUGAGAUGGAACUUCCAUGCUACUUGCUUUUC